UUUUUUUUUUGGACCAAAUUAUUCUCAAUAACUUCUAACAGCAAACAAAUGUAACAAAACUUGCAUAAUACAAUAAUGUGGUUUUGAGAAUAUCAAAUAACUUUGAAUGUUCGACAAACAAAGACUUAAAUGUUACAAAACUCACAAAAAUACCAAAAUUAGUAUUUUAAAUGAAAUUAUACUUUUAGAAUUACCAUGUAAUUAUUUUUCAACUUAAUUUCUACUAACAACAUUGGCAAAUCAUCCUUAUGCACUUUGCAUAUUCAGGAACCAUACACGGCAUUAUAUGACAAUCUUCGUCAUCCUCACAUAAAUAAACUCCUGUGACAACAAUUAUUAAAAAGUAAUGUUAAUAAUAAGGAAUGAAAUAUUACGUAUACGACAAAAUAAUUUCGAAAAAUAUAGUAUAUAUUGGACUUACCAUCGGUUGCCAUGAUAAAAAUGAAAAGAAAAAGUAUCACUACAUAAAAAUACUUGCAAGUUUCAACCAUAUUAUUC
rnacentral:lncRNA from 1 species